GACUCGUUAGCUCAGUUGGCAGAGCAACUGCCUUUUAAGCAGUGGGUCCGGGGUUCGAAUCCCCGACGGGUCACCA
rnacentral:tRNA from 1 species